rnacentral:lncRNA from 1 species
AAGUGGCGGUGGUGGCAAGCGAGGCUUGAAGAGGAAAGCGCCCGCUGAAGAGCCUCAAGAAACUGCGGUCGCGAGCGAUGGGACGGCGGAGAGCGGGGUACAGUCCGCGAAAGCGGCUGCCUUCCCCCCGGGCUUCAGUAUCUCGGAGAUUAAGAACAAACAGCGGCGACACUUGAUGUUCACGCGGUGGAAACAGCAGCAGCGGAAGGAAAAGUUGGCAGCUAAGAAAAAACUUAAAAGGGAGAGAGAGGCUCUUGGUGAUAAGGUAAGUAAAACUUUUAGCCAUGUGUUUUGUCUUAUGUUAUGAAGUGUUUCCUGAUACUGCGUUGGUUUCUUCUAAGACGUUUCAGAUGUAUAAAAAUAAUGUCAUCAGUUGCUUUAUCCAACUUAGCAAAUAGUGGUGAAAACCCAUCCCUGUUCUCAGAGCCGCUCCCUCAGAUGGACUUGCUGAAUUCCCUGUGCUGUUCCUCACUCGGUAUGUGGUGUACAGGAGUAAGUACAUUAUGCUGUUGAUGGUCAGCAGGCAGAGAACGCUCUCUCCCUGGCUUUAGACUGAGGAACUCCCCACUUGAGGCUUGAAGGUUUAGCUCUUGUGACUGAAGCCAAGAGAACUCCUAACAUUCCUGCAUUCGUGCACAACUGCGUUUUUCAUUUUUAAAAAAAUUUACACAUACACUUAAUUUAUAACUUAUCUUGUAAGGUUUCUAAAGCAUAUGAUUCUCCUUCCUUCUU